AGAGAUUGUGUAUAAUAUG
rnacentral:miRNA from 1 species